UUUAGGGUUUAGGGUUUAGGAUUUAGAGUUUAGGGUUUAGGGUUUAGAGUUUAGGGUUUAGGGUUUAGGGUUUAGAGUUUAGGGUUUAUGGUUUAGAGUUGAGAAAUGAGGUUUUGGGGAGAAUAUUUCAAAUUUUGAAAAAUAAAAAAAUUAAAAUUUUCAAAAGAUAAAAUGCUAUUUUGGUCAUUUUAGUUUUUGAGUGCUAUUUUUGCGAUAUAAAUUUAGAAAUGUGCUAUUUUGGAGAUUUACCUUUCUACUUUCUGUGAAUUAUUACCACGUCCACAUGUCAUUCUGCGGUACCGUAAGCUGGGCAGCAUAUGUAGGAUGUAGCUUUGUUGUUUUUUCCAUUGCGACAAAAAUAACAGAGGAAAAUGUAGGGCUGCUAAGUGGAAAU
rnacentral:lncRNA from 1 species